UAACCUCCGAUUUCUACGAACUGCUUUCAGAGCGCCAGCAUGGGUGCGGUGUUCUCAGUGGCAACGCUGGUAUUCGGGCUCUGCCUCGUCUACGUGUAGUUCCAAGGUCAGAAGAGGGCGCUCGUCCGUUGCUGCUGGGGGCUGGAAUCAUCACCGGCCAUCGACUCACUCCGGUGGCGAUUGUUUCUUUCCAUCUAGCUGCAAGGGUCGAGAUCCGAUCCUUUGGAAGAAUCUGCCCUGGUCCAGGGGCGGAUCGGUGCUCGUGGCACCAGUAUAAUUUGGGACCAAACAUCACGUGCAAGAGCGAAACGGAAGAAUAUGGGGUCAAGUAACAGUGCGGCAGAUACUGCGGUGCUUCGACGAAACGAAAUAACUUCAAUCUGCACGUGUCGUCUCUACAUCACAUGGUGAUGAAGAUGUGCACCACGCAUCGAGGGGACCAAGAUGUAUUUUUAAGUGCCGCUCGUCGGCAUCGGCCUACUUCCACACGCAUUGUUUAGUUAACACUUCUAUGCUAAACUGUGACUUCUGUGCCAUUCCAUUUUCUUUCUUUUUUGUUUGCACACGUGCAGAUUAUUACCAGGUAAAAAAAACAGCAUUGAAAUCGCAUUUGCUCAAAAAUAUUGUACAAUCGCUUUUACUGUUAAUUAGCACGUUCCGUGGCAGUUUUGAUAUCAUAUAGCACAAGGUGUGCGGUUGUUAAAGUUCAAAUGUCCCAGUGAUUUAUUAUCCGGCGAUUCGGUUCCAUGAUACGCCCCUUGUACCAUCCGCUGAUGAUGCCAAGUAAAUCGACAAUAAAAGCGCGUUACAGUCUAGCCGUUUCUAAACGGUGGCACUAAGUCUCCAGGAGGCUUCGUUUAACAAGCGGACCGUCAGAAGACACUAAUCAAUAAGUACUUAUGGUACUCUUGAUCUUCUUACACUCUACAAACAUUCAUUUCAACUGAAGGGAAAUUAAAGAAAAGCAGAUAUUGUACCAUCAUGCUAACACACCUUUAGUCGCGUAAAAGGGUGUUAGUUUUAGUGCACGGCUUAGAACUGUUUCAGUUUUUAAUGUAUGCACAGUGACCCUAUUUCAAGCACCGCAACAGGACGUAGUUUUCUUACUUUGGUUUGUUUUUUUGCUAGUCAAAUGUAAUACACCUGAUGCUGGCACGUUUGACUCUUUGGUUGCGGUUGCUCGUUGACUGUUCGUCUGUAAUGUUGGCUAUUGAUUGUUCUUGCUCCCUCCACCGGUGGAAUCGCUGUGGAAUUUGGAACCGUGUGGGAAUUGUACAUAGCGGUCGAGAAACUUGUACAUUUAAGAGCAUGCCGAAGCUGUGACGAAUGUACGUAUCGCAAAUAACUUCACCAGUGCUUUCCUUUUUGUACUUCGUGGCUUCAUUGUGGCUUGAUUAACGAAUAAAUGCAGGUGCAAUUCGUUUGACGCUAGUGGCUUAUAUAAUUAGUAAUAAGGAGAGAGUAAGAUAGGCCUUCCUAACGAAUGGAUAAGAUCCCCGAAAUUCAAGAUUGUAUUCCAGUGCAAAUAUUGCAGCCAGCUAGGCUUAAGUUUAACUUUCUUAUAUGAGUAAUACAGAAACAAUGGAAUUCUGUAAUUCUAACCAACCACUGUCUAAACGUUUUGCGAUAAUUCAGUCUAUUGGUCGCAUUCGCUUAACUUAGCAGCCAUUUUUAUCGGCAUCCGUACUUAUUAGCGAGCUUACUAUAUAACAAGCCUCAGCGAAGUAUAUUCCUCUCUAUGAUAAAUCCACGCUGGUUGUUUUUAUGCUGCUACACAGACAGCAAUUUUAGAUCAGCGCAUACCUUAGGGAAGCAAAGUUAGCAGAACCUUUUGAAAGCUUUAUGCACAGCGUCACAUACAGGGUCGCCCACUUUUAUGACACAUAGACCAUGACUAUUAAAGGAGUUCUAACAGCCUAAGUUUGCCGAGUGUUGAUAGAAAUUAAAUUUACGUUUACAAAUCCUCAAUUGAUGUUUCCUUAUGCAGUAGACUAUAGAGCUAUUAUACAAACCAAGGUAUGAGUAUUAAAAAUGUACGACUCUGUACAGCGGAUGCUUUGGAAAGCAAACUGCAGAUAAACUUUACCCAUAGGUGCAAUACUGUAUGGUCGCCAGCUUGCUGUUUCUCGUACUAGUGCUUUCUUUCUAUUCUUUUCUUUACUAUUGUGUGUGUGUAUAGGUGUGUCCUCGUGGUUUAUUUUUCGUUCCUGUUCGUUGCAAUUGCGGUGUGAAGCAGGCUUUCUGGAUCACGCGACGGCCGUGCUGUGGAGCUUGUGUGCUUGCAACCGAAGAAAGCACUUGCACGUUGCACUUCCUCAAACAAUAGCCAAUCUCGGUUAAGCUGAUCGAGGGAAUACUUCAUUCUUGUUUUUUUCUUUGCCACUGCUGUUGGUUGUUAAAAUAAUAAAAUACAUUGACCCAAUUUUA